CAGCAGUCGCCACGGUAAUACGGAGGGUGCAAGCGUUAAUCGGAAUUACUGGGCGUAAAGCGCACGCAGGCGGUCUGACAAGUCAGAUGUGAAAUCCCCGGGCUUAACCUGGGAACUGCAUUUGAAACUGUCAGGCUGGAGUCUUGUAGAGGGGGGUAGAAUUCCAGGUGUAGCGGUGAAAUGCGUAGAGAUCUGGAGGAAUACCGGUGGCGAAGGCGGCCCCCUGGACAAAGACUGACGCUCAGGUGCGAAAGCGUGGGGAGCAAACAGGAUUAGAUACCCGCGUAGUCCCUGUCUCUUAUAA
rnacentral:rRNA from 1 species